rnacentral:rRNA from 1 species
AUUGAACGCUGGCGGCAUGCUUUACACAUGCAAGUCGAACGGUAACAGGUUAAGCUGACGAGUGGCGAACGGGUGAGUAAUGCAUCGGAACGUGCCCGAUCGUGGGGGAUAACGCAGCGAAAGCUGCGCUAAUACCGCAUACGAUCUGAGGAUGAAAGCGGGGGAACGUACGGCACCGCCGGAUCGGAGCGUGCGAUGUCCGAUUAGGUAGUUGGUGGGGUAAAGGCUCACCAAGCCAACUGUCUGUAGAUGGUCUGAGAGGACGACCAGCCACACUGGCACUGAGACACGGCCCAGACUCAUACGGGAGGCAGCAGUGGGGAAUUUUGGACAAUGGGCGAAAGCCUGAUCCAGCAAUGCCGCGUGCAGGAAGAAGGCCUUCGGGUUGUAAACUGCUUUUGUACGGAGCGAAAAGGCUCUCUCUAAGACAGGGGGCUCAUGACGGUACCGUAAGAAUAAGCACCGGCUAACUACGUGCCAGCAGCCGCCGUAA